GUCAAAACUGGAGUGUUCUUUUUGUGCCCUAAGUAUAUGCGAUAAAAGAUCAAGGGAAACCUCAAUCGAAAAAUGAAUAUCGUAUCUUCAUCACUGUGGAGCAGCUUACGAUCAAGAGAAAUGAUUCAGUAGUAGCAGUGCUAGUUGCUGUGAUGUCAAUUAACUAUUGUCAUUACUUUACCAAUCGCCAUUUGCUGAUGAAACAAAGCAACUCGUGCACGUCACAGUGGUCUCAUAAGGCAAUAAAAUUUGGACAAGAAGUGAAGUGAAGCGUCCUAGUAGUAGUCAGAGUGGUGUAAGUAAAAAUGACACGCCAUAUAACACCAA